AUGGCCAUGUGGCACAUUUCCCUGAUGCUGAUCUGCAUUGCUGAGGACCCAAGGAGCUCAGUUCUUGUACGAGUUUGUAUCACCGUGAUAUGGGCAUAUGCUUUCGAGUACUGGGGAAAAGGCACCAAAGUCACUGUCGGUGCUAAGCUGCCAUCUUACAUUUACCCCCUUCACCAAUGUGGGUCUGCAGACUCUCGUGGUGACAUCAGCCUCGGAUGCAUUGCCAGCGGUUUUUCACCCCUGGAUGCCUUGAGCUUUAAGUGGAGUGACGGUAACGGUAACGUGCUGCCUGACUUCCAUCAAUACUCACCGGUCAUGGUCAGUGGAAGCACCAUGAUGGUCAGUCACAUCACUGUCAAAGCGGCAGACUGGAACAGUCAGAAAUCUUACAGAUGUGCUGCACAUCACCAGAACCUUGGACUUGAGAAGUCAGAGACAUUACAAAAGCCAGACCUGUCCUGCCGGCCCUGUUUGGAUGUGACCCUGAAGCCCCCAAGAGUAAAAGAGAUGUUCAUAGAUAACAGGGCUGUGCUGGAAUGCAUCAUCUCAGGAGAGGAUGAGGCAGUAAAAGAAGCUGAAGUGACCUGGAUGUUGGACAGUGUACAGGUCACAGAUAAGAUUACACAGACCGGCACAGAAAAGGCAGAUCAUCUCUUCAGAAAGAGCAGCAUCCUGACUCUGGCAGUGAAGGACUGGGAAGGUGGCAAAACAGUGACAUGCAGUGUGCAGCUGAAGGGUGGUCCUACUAUCACUAAGACCCUCAAUUUUGGGCAAAAAGGUACGACGACACCUACAGUCUCCAUCCAAACACCAUCUCCUGAAGACCUUAAUGGAAAAAGUGAAUUCUUCCUGCUCUGCCUGGUAACAGGCUUCUAUCCUGAGGAAAUAUACAUCAUGUGGCAAGUAGAUGGGGGCCAGUAUGAGGAGGGUAUUACUGGAGAGCCACUGAAGACUGGGGAUAAAUACUCUGUCACCAGUCUGUUUAUGGUCUCAAAAGAGAACUGGGACAAAGGCACCAAGUACAACUGCAACGCCAGACACGUGUCUCAAAAGGGAGCUGAGAUACCUGCAUUGAAAUCUAUGUCAAAAUCAAAGGGUAAUUCACUGGAAUGUCCUGUAUGAAUAAUAAUCGAUUAUUUGUAGAUGCCACUGAGUUUCCUUACACUGCAUAGUCACUGUUAUGUCAUGUGGACACAGGAAGGUCAGUGUAGUUUUACGUUAGACAUUCUAAUGCUGGUUAUAAACUUCAGCUUUUUCAGGAAGUCCACACUCAUAGUUUUAUUUCACACAGCAUGAUACAGUAAACCCCUGCUUUGCUCACCUUCUGUAUUUUGUGUUUGGUCUUUUUCCCAUGUUGUCAUUUUUUGUUGUACUAUGUGAAAAAUCAUUGUUUCCUGUUUAUAAUCUAAGUUUAUGAAGCAAGAUUAGUGGAGUAUUAUUAGUAUUCAACACGAUCAUUGUAAAGAAGACUAAUAAUGGAUGUAAUACUAGUCUGAUUUCAAUUAUUUUUCUUGCAUUUCAUAAUACAAGUAAAAUGUUAUCAAUCAAUAUGUUAUAUAUCUUUGGAGUUUUAAAAUGCCAUAUGCACUUUGAAUUUUGGAAAAUAUUUUUUGACAAACAUCAGGAACAGUUAGACAAAAUUGAACCUGUUUUGUCUGAUCUCUGUUAACAUUGUUUAUGAUUUUCUGUAAUGUCAUUCUGUCAUAUUUUAGUCACAUGUUCCUCCUCCUGAUGUUCACUGUGUCUAUCUCUGUCCAUAAUGAUGUCAUCAUUCGUCUGCUCCCAGUGUUACAGCUUAUUGUCUCACUGCUUGGAGAUGCAAAUCUCAGAUGGCCUGAAGGUCCUCUUAAGCCACCUCAUGUCACUGGAAUACUGUGAAUCUCCUGUGUGGCAUUUAUAGAAAUAUUAAUAAAAGUUACUGCAUAUGA